rnacentral:lncRNA from 1 species
UCAUACUCUAAAGAAAAUGUCAUCAAUGCACCAUCCAUGAUUCCAUGUAAAAAUACAUUAUAUGCCAUCUUGCAUCUUGUUUGGUACACAGGCAAGCAAGCAAAAAUGUAAAGGAAAUCAUACGGUGACCUUAGAACUAUUCUAACAACAUGAUGCUCUACAAGUUAACGCCAGUUGCAUUAAUUUACACAACAAGAUUAGGGCAUUAGUCACUUGCUGUCAGCAGUGCAAUGCUGGAGUAGCUCCUCUCUCUGUCUGCCACUGUGAGAGCUCCACGAAUAUUUGUAAACUAUAGGACCUCUCUCGCCGAGCUUCACCCUGUUUAUAGGACACAAAAACAAAGUAAGCCUAGCAAUAAAUCCAAAUCCAGCUGCCAUUCGGACUAAUGUUGUAAUUGCAUAGAAAUACAUACCGAUGAUCAUGAAAUGCAAUGAUGUCAGAACUAGAAACACAAUUCACAUGUAAUUGGUAUGUUUGAGCUGUGAUACAUGUGUACUGCCAACUGAAUAUUUGCCAAUCUUGAUUAUUACACAUUCUGGGCGGCCAUUUGGAAACUUAUAAAUUUGACAUCUCCUGUCCUAUCCUUGCUGGAUACCGCUAGCUGUUUUCUAGCUUCAUUUAUCAAACUACCACAUCGGCAAUUGCUAGUACUCACGUACACACAUAACACAAAUACUUACAAAUUACUGUGUGUACAAAAUAACUAGAUCACCCUUCAUUUUUUUAUAAGCUAUGUUUGAUCAAGAAUGGGGAUUAAACAGGGCACAGAACAAAAAGGAUGUUCAGUGAAGUGACCAUAGCAUCCAUAAAUAAAUAUGGGAGAGAAAGAGAGUAUAGAAAUGAGGGAAUACAAGAGAAAACAUAUCUAAAAGUAAAGUUACAAAAACUAUAUGCCUAAUGCCUAAUGUUUUAAAUGAAAGGAGUAUUUUCCUACAAAUUGAUCAGUACAGUUCUACUAGUUCCCAUUAUCCAUUUGCUAAUAAAUUGAUUAGCAUUUUCCUACAAAAACUAUCUGCAAAGGAUGAAUCCUUAUUUCCUCCUACUUCUACUACUUCUCAUUAUCCAUUUGCUAAUUACUCCGCCGCCGUCGCUGCCGCUAAUCAUCAUUAAUCUAAUCAAUCCAUAUAUUCUAGUACUACACCACGGUGCUACUUCUAUCGACUAUUUUUCCAUCUCCCUACUACAGCAUGCGACUGCCUAAUUAACGGCUAGCCAGCAAAUUUUACAGCAUUGUGUGCUGUGGCCAAACAUGUGGUCUGUAUUUUGAAUACUCCAGAAAAACUUUGUUAAGUUAAAACUAUGGUAUUGUGUGCGUACUGAUUAAAUUACUGUAGUUUUUGAUACUUUGUUUUUUCUGAUACUUUGCUACCAAACAUAGCCUAAGUUUUUUUCCCCGAAAUAGUCGCCAAAAAAUCACCAUCAUAUGUAUGAAAUAGCCACUGUUUCCGGAAAAUUGUUAUCGCGACGAACUCAAUUCUUUUUUUUGCUAGUUCUGAAUUUGUUUUCUAGCAUGCUUGUAGUCUGUAACACUGAACACCAUGAUCAUUAGCUUUUUAACUUCUUUUCGCACAACUUACCAGCUAGUGAAAUGAUAUGGUGCAAUGCACGAAUCUACUCCCUCCGUUCCUAAAUAUUUGUCUUUCUAGACAUUUCAAAUGACUACUACAUACGGAUGUAUGUAGACAUAUUUUAGAGUGUAGAUUCACUCAUUUUGCUCCGUAUGUAGUCACUUGUUGAAAUGACUAGAAAGACAAGUAUUUAGGAACGGAGGGAGUAUGACGUAGUCCUGAAACCAGUAAUUGGCUACCUAUAUGUCUACAAAAUGUAACCUGCACACGAAAGAACCUAAGCAUGGAUUUCAUGAUCUAUAUAACACACUUCUAACUCCACAUAGCUUAUCAAUUUAGACCAGAACACAAUCUACUACUGACAGAGAGGAACUAAAUUGUUGGAAUGAAAUAAAAAAUUGUCAUGUCAGUAUUAAUAUUGUAGUUUAGCUAUGACGAAAACAACUAAAUUUUGGACAGAAAUCAAGAUUUAAUACACAAUAAUCAAGAGUAAAUUGCUACGUAGUUAUGUAAACUGACCGAGAGUAGGUGAUACUGUACAGCUCCGGCGGCGAAGACCCGGUCGCCGACCAUCAUGAUGAAAGGAGAUGCAUGGCGCAUCAAUAUGCAUGCCAAUGGCCAAACAUAACCUGACACCGAGAAACACCAGCGACACUACAUGACUACUACACCUUCUUUGAAUCCAUGACGACCCAUCUCUGUGCUUCCUGAUAAAAAAUGUUGCUUGCACGAAAGCAAGCACACAGUCAAGCACACAGUCAACGAUUUGGGAGGAACACGACCAGGUGAAACGUAUGUGGAUGUUGAUUGGAAGUUUGGUGCGGAAAGCAUUAGGAUUGAGGUUUCUCACCUCCUACCGUGCAAUCCCCACCUACACACAUUGAAGCAAAACCAAAAUAGCCCAAACAUACAAGGGCGUCUGGAGCACCAUCGCCAUACAUGGCCUUUGUGAGCUGGAAGAAUCACCCAGCCACGGCCAGGGAACCUGCCCGUGCUCAUGAGACCCUGGACUGGCCGCAGCCUCUUGAAUUGGAUGGAGCGUCGGCCAGCUCAUGGCUCCUCUGCAAAGCGCCACAAGUAGGAAGUCGAGAGCCCUGCCCUCGCCGGCCUGGCGCCAUCUACAGAGGCCACACCGGCAGGACGAGGAAGAUGCCGGAGAGAUCCCUUUAUCCCGCUUCGUCCUAGCCUACCUACC